AGAGUUUGAUCAUGGCUCAGAAUCAACGCUGGCGGCGUGCCUAACACAUGCAAGUCGAGCGAGAAAAGGGGAGCAAUCCUCUGAGUACAGCGGCGCACGGGUGAGUAACACGUGGGUAAUCUGCCCUGGAGUGGGGAAUAACACCGGGAAACCGGUGCUAAUACCGCAUACGAUCGCGAUGUCUGCGGACGUUGUGAUGAAAGGAGCAAUUCGCUCCAGGAGGAGCCCGCGGCUGAUUAGCUAGUUGGUGAGGUAACGGCUCACCAAGGCGACGAUCAGUAUCCGGUCUGAGAGGACGGUCGGACACACUGGAACUGAGACACGGUCCAGACUCCUACGGGAGGCAGCAGUGGGGAAUUUUUGGCAAUGGGGGAAACCCUGACCAAGCAACGCCGCGUGGGUGAUGAAGUCCCUUGGGACGUAAAACCCUUUCGACGGGGAAGAAACCGCAAGGUUGACGGUACCCGUAGAAGAAGCCCCGGCUAACUCCGUGCCAGCAGCCGCGGUAAUACGGGGGGGGCAAGCGUUGUUCGGAAUUACUGGGCGUAAAGGGUGCGUAGGCGGUGUUCUAAGUCGGAUGUGAAAACUCUGGGCUCAACCCAGAGCCUGCAUCCGAAACUGGAGUGCUAGAGUUCUGGAGGGGGUAGCGGAAUUCCUGGUGUAGCGGUGAAAUGCGUAGAUAUCAGGAGGAACACCGGUGGCGAAGGCGGCUACCUGGACAGAAACUGACGCUGAGGCACGAAAGCUAGGGGAGCAAACAGGAUUAGAUACCCUAGUAGUCC
rnacentral:rRNA from 1 species